GUAGGGGGCAAGCGUUGUCCGGAAUCAUUGGGCGUAAAGCGCGUGUAGGCGGCCAGAAAAGUCCGCUGUGAAAACUCGAGGCUCAACUUCGAGCUGUCGGUGGAAACUUUCUGGCUAGAGUCCGGAAGAGGAGAAUGGAAUUCCUGGUGUAGCGGUGAAAUGCGCAGAUAUCAGGAAGAACACCCGUGGCGAAGGCGGUUCUCUGGGACGGUACUGACGCUGAGACGCGAAAGCGUGGGGAGCGAACAGGAUUAGAUACCCUGGUAGUCCACGCCGUAAACGAUGGGUGCUAGGUGUGGGCGGUGUCGACUCCGUCCGUGCCGAAGCUAACGCAUUAAGCACCCCGCCUGGGGAGUACGGCCGCAAGGCUAAA
rnacentral:rRNA from 1 species